rnacentral:rRNA from 1 species
AGCAGCCGCGGUAAUUCCAGCUCCAAUAGCGUAUAUUAAAGUUGUUGCAGUUAAAAAGCUCGUAGUUGAAUUUCGGAAUCAAUGGAUCAGUCAUGCCACUCGGUGUGUACUGGUUUGAUUGGUUCUCACCUUCUAAGGAACCGUGAUGUCAUUAAUUUGGUGUCGCGGGGAAUUAGGACUGUUACCUUGAAAAAAUUAGAGUGUUUAAAGCAGGCUCACGCUUGAAUACAUUAGCAUGGAAUAAUGAAAUAGGACAUUGUAUUCUAUUUUGUUGGUUUCUAGGAUCGAUGUAAUGAUUAAUAGGGAUAGUUGGGGGCAUUAGUAUUCAAUUGUCAGAGGUGAAAUUCUUGGAUUUAUUGAAGACUAACUACUGCGAAAGCAUUUGCCAAGGAUGUUUUCAUUAAUCAAGAACGAAAGUUAGGGGAUCGAAGACGAUCAGAUACCGUCGUAGUCUUAACCAUAAACUAUGCCGACUAGGGAUCGGAUGAUGUUAAUUUUUAAUGUACUCU